rnacentral:rRNA from 1 species
AUUGAACGUUUGCGGCAGGCCUAACACAUGCAAGUCGAACGGUAGCACAGAGAGCUUGCUCUCGGGUGACGAGUGGCGGACGGGUGAGUAAUGUCUGGGAAACUGCCUGAUGGAGGGGGAUAACUACUGGAAACGGUAGCUAAUACCGCAUAACGUCGCAAGACCAAAGAGGGGGACCUUCGGGCCUCUUGCCAUCAGAUGUGCCCAGAUGGGAUUAGCUAGUAGGUGGGGUAACGGCUCACCUAGGCGACGAUCCCUAGCUGGUCUGAGAGGAUGACCAGCCACACUGGAACUGAGACACGGUCCAGACUCCUACGGGAGGCAGCAGUGGGGAAUAUUGCACAAUGGGCGCAAGCCUGAUGCAGCCAUGCCGCGUGUAUGAAGAAGGCCUUCGGGUUGUAAAGUACUUUCAGCGGGGAGGAAGGCGAUAAGGUUAAUAACCUUGUCGAUUGACGUUACCCGCAGAAGAAGCACCGGCUAACUCCGUGCCAGCAGCCGCGGUAAUACGGAGGGUGCAAGCGUUAAUCGGAAUUACUGGGCGUAAAGCGCACGCAGGCGGUCUGUCAAGUCGGAUGUGAAAUCCCCGGGCUCAACCUGGGAACUGCAUUCGAAACUGGCAGGCUGGAGUCUUGUAGAGGGGGGUAGAAUUCCAGGUGUAGCGGUGAAAUGCGUAGAGAUCUGGAGGAAUACCGGUGGCGAAGGCGGCCCCCUGGACAAAGACUGACGCUCAGGUGCGAAAGCGUGGGGAGCAAACAGGAUUAUAUACCCUGGUAGUCCACGCUGUAAACGAUGUCGACUUGGAGGUUGUUCCCUUGAGGAGUGGCUUCCGGAGCUAACGUGUUAAGUCCACCGCCUGGGGAGUACGGCCGCAAGGUUAAAACUCAAAUGAAUUGACGGGGGCCCGCACAAGCGGUGGAGCAUGUGGUUUAAUUCGAUGCAACGCGAAGAACCUUACCUACUCUUGACAUCCAGAGAACUUAGCAGAGAUGCUUUGGUGCCUUCGGGAACUCUGAGACAGGUGCUGCAUGGCUGUCGUCAGCUCGUGUUGUGAAAUGUUGGGUUAAGUCCCGCAACGAGCGCAACCCUUAUCCUUUGUUGCCAGCGGUCCGGCCGGGAACUCAAAGGAGACUGCCAGUGAUAAACUGGAGGAAGGUGGGGAUGACGUCAAGUCAUCAUGGCCCUUACGAGUAGGGCUACACACGUGCUACAAUGGCAUAUACAAAGAGAAGCGACCUCGCGAGAGCAAGCGGACCUCAUAAAGUAUGUCGUAGUCCGGAUUGGAGUCUGCAACUCGACUCCAUGAAGUCGGAAUCGCUAGUAAUCGUGGAUCAGAAUGCCACGGUGAAUACGUUCCCGGGCCU